UGUGAACGUUACCAAACUGUUGCCUCGGCGGGAUCUCUGCCCCGGGUGCGUCGCAGCCCCGGACCAAGGCGCCCGCCGGAGGACCAACCAAAACUCUUAUUGUAUACCCCCUCGCGGGUUUUUUUAUAAUCUGAGCCUUCUCGGCGCCUCUCGUAGGCGUUUCGAAAAUGAAUCAAAACUUUCAACAACGGAUCUCUUGGUUCUGGCAUCGAUGAAGAACGCAGCGAAAUGCGAUAAGUAAUGUGAAUUGCAGAAUUCAGUGAAUCAUCGAAUCUUUGAACGCACAUUGCGCCCGCCAGUAUUCUGGCGGGCAUGCCUGUCCGAGCGUCAUUUCAACCCUCGAACCCCUCCGGGGGGUCGGCGUUGGGGAUCGGCCCUCCCUUAGCGGGUGGCCGUCUCCGAAAUACAGUGGCGGUCUCGCCGCAGCCUCUCCUGCGCAGUAGUUUGCACACUCGCAUCGGGAGCGCGGCGCGUCCACAGCCGUUAAACACCCAACUUCUGAAAUGUUGACCUCGGAUCAGGUAGGAAUACCCGCUGAACUUAAGCAUAU
rnacentral:rRNA from 1 species